UCGGGAAUAUUGGACAAUGGGUGAGAGCCUGAUCCAGCCAUGCCGCGUGCAGGAAGAAGGCGUUAUGCGUUGUAAACUGCUUUUUGCCAGGGGAUAAAAUGACCGUGCGCGGUUAAUUGAAGGUACCUGGUGAAUAAGCCACGGCUAACUACGUGCCAGCAGCCGCGGUAAUACGUAGGUGGCAAGCGUUGUCCGGAUUUAUUGGGUUUAAAGGGUGCGUAGGUGGCCCUGUAAGUCAGUGGUGAAAUAUCUCAGCUUAACUGAGAGGGUGCCAUUGAUACUGCAGGGCUUGAGUACAGAUGAGGUAGGCGGAAUUGACGGUGUAGCGGUGAAAUGCAUAGAUAUCGUCAAGAACACCGAUAGCGAAGGCAGCUUACCAAGCUGUAACUGACACUGAGGCACGAAAGUGUGGGGAUCAAACAGGAUUAGAUACCCAUGUAGUCCCUGAGCGGGCUGGCAAGGCGCAU
rnacentral:rRNA from 1 species